AACCUGCCUCAUACAGAGGGAUAAUCAUGUGAAAACGUGACUAAUACCGCAUGUCAUUACUGGAGGGCAUCCUCCGGUAAGAAAAGGAGCAAUCCGGUAUGAGAUGGGCCCGCACCUGAUUAGCUAGUUGGUGAGAUAACAGCCCACCAAGGCGACGAUCAGUAGCCGACCUGAGAGGGUGAUCGGCCACAUUGGGACUGAGACACGGCCCAA
rnacentral:rRNA from 1 species